UACGAAGGGGGCUAGCGUUGUUCGGAAUUACUGGGCGUAAAGCGCACGUAGGCGGAUAUUUAAGUCAGGGGUGAAAUCCCAGAGCUCAACUCUGGAACUGCCUUUGAUACUGGGUAUCUCGAGUAUGGAAGAGGUGAGUGGAAUUCCCAGUGUAGAGGUGAAAUUCGUAGAUAUUGGGAAGAACACCAGUGGCGAAGGCGGCUCACUGGCCCAUUCUUGACGCUGAGGCGCGAAAGCUAGGGGAGCGAACGGG
rnacentral:rRNA from 1 species